AGUGAACGCUGGCGGUAGGCCUAACACAUGCAAGUCGAACGGCAGCACAGUAAGAGCUUGCUCUUACGGGUGGCGAGUGGCGGACGGGUGAGGAAUACAUCGGAAUCUACUUUUUCGUGGGGAAUAACGUAGGGAAACUUACGCUAAUCCCGCAUACGACCUACGGGUUAAAGCAGGGGAUCUUCGGACUUUGCCCGUUUCAUUGAGCCGUUGUCGGAUUAGCUAGUUGGCGGGGUAAAGGCCCACCAAGGCGACGAUCCGUAGCUGGUCUGAGAGGAUGAUCAGCCACACUGGAACUGAGACACGGUCCAGACUCCUACGGGAGGCAGCAGUGGGGAAUAUUGGACAAUGGGCGCAAGCCUGAUCCAGCCAUACCGCGUGGGUGAAGAAGGCCUUCGGGUUGUAAAGCCCUUUUGUUGGGAAAGAAAAGCAGCAGGUUAAUACCCCGCUGUUCUGACGGUACCCAAAGAAUAAGCACCGGCUAACUUCGUG
rnacentral:rRNA from 1 species